ensembl:lncRNA
AACAAUACUUUGCGGGACAAAGCAAGCAUGAUCGUAGCAAAGUCGCUUUGGGUAAAAGUUAUUACUAAAUGGCUUAUACACAGAACCAGUGCAGUGGUGGAAAAAGUACCCAAUUGUCAUACAUGACUGAGUCAUUUUCUAUUAAGGUAUCUUUACUUUUACUCAAGUUAAAGUCACCCAGUAAAAUACUAGAGUAAUAGUCUAAAAGUAUUUGGUUUUAAAUAUACUUAAGUAUCAAAAAUGUAAUUGGAUAAAAUAUACUUAUAAACCUAUAAAUAAUUUCAAAUUCCUUAUCUUAAUAAGCAAACCAGAUGGCACCAUAUUCUUGUUUUUUUCAUUUAUGGAUAGCUAGGGGCUCCAACACUGACAUAAUUUACAAAUUAAGCAGAUAUAGAUUAGAAUGUUAGAUUAGAACAUUGUGCAAGGUUAUUGUCCAUUGUGCCAAUGAAGCUGUUCUUAUGCUACACCCUCGGGAGUGUGGUGUCAGGAAAAUAACCUCAGUCUCAACGUCAACAAAACAAAGGAGAUGAUCGUGGACUUCAGGAAACAGCAGAGGGAGCAACCCCCCUAUCCACAUCAAUAGGACAGUAGUGGAGAAGUUGAACGUUUUAAGUUCCUCGGCGUACACAUCACGGACAAAUUGAAAUGGUCCACCCACACAGACCGCAUGGUGAAGGAGGCACAACAGCGCCUCUUCAACCUCAGGAGGCUGAAGAAAUUUGGCUUGUCACCAAAAACGGUCACAAACUUUUACAGAUGCACAAUCGAGAGCAUCCUGUCAGGCUGUAUCACCGCCUGGUACAGCAACUGCACAACGCAUCACCGGGCUGGGACCGAGAGACUGAAAAACAGCUUCUAUCUCAAGGUCAUCAGACUGUUAACCAGCCAUCACUAACAUUGAGUGGCUGCUGCCAACAUACUGACUCAAUCUCUAGCCACUUUAAUAAUUACAAAUAUGAUGUAAUAAAUGCAUCACUAGUCACUUUAAACAAUGCCACUUUAUAUAAUGUUUACAUACCCUAUAUUACUCAUCUCAUAUGUAUAUACUGUACUCUAUACCAUCUACUGCAUCUUGCCUAUGCCGUUUGGCCAUCGCUCAUCCAUAUAUUUAUAUGUACAUAUUCUUAUUUAUUCCUUUACACUUGUGUGUGUAUAAGGUAGUUGUUGUGAAAUUUUUUGAUUACUUGUUAGAUAUUACUGCACGGUCGGAACUAGAAGCACAAGCAUUUCGCUACACUCGCAUUAUUAACAUCUGCUUACCAUGUGUAUUUGAUUGAAUGUUUUCCCCAUAAAACCUACCACUGCUUUGAUUUCUAAUUUGAUCAGUAUUGGUUUAUGCUGUGUUAAAAUUUGUGUUUAAGCAAUAAA